GUUGGAUUGUUCACCCACC
rnacentral:snRNA from 1 species